UGAGCUUUGUCGAUUGAACUCUAGGCAUUUUAGUGAUACAUUCUAAGUUUGGCUUAAAUAAACUCUUAGGCUCAGAGCAAACGAACUGCUCUGAUACCACUCUGUCACGACCGGCCUUAAUUAAGGAUAAUUAAUCCGGGAAAACCAUGACUGGGGAAGGGAAAUUAAGAAGCGGGUUGAGAAAGGGGCGCAUAAAAGAAUACUCAAAGGACUUGAAUACGCGUGAAAUAUUCCUUAAAAAGGAAAAAGGCAUAGGUCGCAUAAAAAGGGUACUCAAAGAACUUGUAUACGCGUUAUAUUCCUUAAAAGGAAAAAGGCAUCGUUAGGGGCUUGGCUAAAAUAUUAUCAGAGUUUGCAACGGAAGGCGUAACUGAAAUAAUCAGUGUUUACAGCGGAAUGCAUAACUGAGAUACAUGUAUGAAGACAUGUACCCUUUCUGAGCCUACUUUAAGUUCGACAAAAACUCCACUCAGCAACAACACUUCAUCGCCCAUCACAGCUCAACCUGCACAAAACAUAAACAUCGAAGGGCUAAGUACAAGAGUACUUAGUGGGCAGUGCCAAGCAUAUAACAUAAUAUCAACAACAAAACACAACUUCGCAUAAGAGGCAUAAGUUCUUUCAUAUCAUUUGCUCAUUAAACAUUUCCAAAUUCAUAAAUAGCAUAAGGGCAUUCUUCAUCAUCAACAAUCAUAAACAAGCAUCGUGUCGUGGAGAAGGCUUCCCCAACGAACACGGGCAUCGCACCGUGAGAGGGGGCCUCCCUCAGCGGUCACGGCAUCGUACUAUUGAGGGAGGCCUCCCCCAAUAGACGCUGUAACACUGGCAUACUGGCAUACUGGCAUCGCGCCGCGAGAGAGGCCUCUCUCAGCGGACACGGGCAUCGCGCCGUGAGGAAGGCCCUCCUCAGCGGACACGGCAUCGUACUGUUGAGGGAGGCCUCCCCCAACAGACGCAAGCAUCAAACAUAAGCAUAAACUUAUCAGCAUAAAGCAUUCAAGCGUAAAUAAGCGUAAUCAAGCGUAAAUUACAUAGGCGUAAAUCAUUUAACGUGCAGCAUAAUAAAGCUUAACUCAUUUAAGCGUAAUAAAGCAUACCACACUUGAAGAUCCAAUUUGCAUUUUAAAAGCAUAACACUUGCAUAACAUCUUAUUUACGCGUAAGAAAUUGCCCACCUGAUCGCAAAGUUUUGCUAAGUACUGUGACUUCUUGAAUAGUUCUUACUCUCGCGCUUGACCUUAAUCACGA
rnacentral:lncRNA from 1 species